UACGGAGGGUGCGAGCGUUGUCCGGAAUCACUGGGCGUAAAGGGCGCGUAGGCGGCGCGGAUAGUCGGCGGUGAAAGCCCGGAGCUCAACUCCGGGUCGGCCGUCGAUACUUCCGGGCUUGAGCACUGUAGAGGCAGAUGGAAUUCCGGGUGUAGCGGUGGAAUGCGUAGAGAUCCGGAAGAACACCGGUGGCGAAGGCGGUCUGCUGGGCAGUUGCUGACGCUGAGGCGCGAAAGCUAGGGGAGCAAACGGG
rnacentral:rRNA from 1 species